ANCGCGCUUACCAUNCNAGUCGAACGGGUCCUUCGGGAUAGUGGCGGACGGGCUGAAGUAACACGAUGCGGAUUUCUACCCCKUAGGCUUCGGAACAACACAGGGUAAACUUGAUGCUAAUACCGCGAUAAGCCCUUCGGGGGAAAGAUUUAUCGCCUUUGGAGCGGCCCGCGUCUGAUUAGCUUGUUGGUGAGGUAAUGGCUCACCAAGGCUACGAUCAGUAGCUGGUCUGAGAGGAUGGCCAGCCACACUGGGACUGAGACACGGCCCAGACUMAUACGGGAGGCAGCAGUGGGGAAUCUUGCGCAAUGGGCGAAAGCCUGACGCAGCCAUGCCGCGUGGAUGAUGAAGGUCUUAGGAUUGUAAAAUCCUUUCACCGGGGACGAUAAUGACGGUACCCGGAGAAGAAGCCCCGGCUAACUUCGUGCCAGCAGCCGCGGUAAUACGAAGGGGGCUAGCGUUGCUCGGAAUUACUGGGCGUAAAGGGCGCGUAGGCGGACAGUUAAGUUGGGGGUGAAAGCCCGGGGCUCAACCUCGGAAAUGCCUUCAAUACUGGCUGUCUUGAGUACGGGAGAGGUGAGUGGAACUCCGAGUGUAGAGGUGAAAUUCGUAGAUAUUCGGAAGAACACCAGUGGCGAAGGCGACUCACUGGCCCGUUACUGACGCUGAGGCG
rnacentral:rRNA from 1 species